rnacentral:rRNA from 1 species
UACAGAGGUCUCAAGCGUUGUUCGGAUUCAUUGGGCGUAAAGGGCGCGUAGGCGGCGGGGUAAGUCGGGUGUGAAAUCUCGGAGCUUAACUCCGAAACUGCAUUCGAUACUGCCGUGCUUGAGGACUGGAGAGGAGACUGGAAUUUACGGUGUAGCGGUGAAAUGCGUAGAUAUCGUAAGGAAGACCAGUGGCGAAGGCGGGUCUCUGGACAGUUCCUGACGCUGAGGCACGAAGGUCAGGGGAGCAAACGGG